UACCAGCACCCCGAGUGGUCGGGACGAUUAUGGGGCCUAAAGCAUCCGUAGCCGGUUUUACAAGUCCCCCGUUAAAUCCAGCUGCUUAACAGAUGGGCUGCGGAGGAUACUAUAAGACUAGGAGGCAGGAGAGGCAAGCGGUACUCAGUGGGUAGGGGUAAAAUCCGUUGAUCCAUUGAAGAACACCGGUGGCGAAGGCGGCCAUCUGGACCAUUUCUGACGCUGAGGCGCGAAAGCGUGGGGAGCAAACAGG
rnacentral:rRNA from 1 species